AGUAUUCAAUAACCGCAUGGUUUAUGGAUUAAAGCUGCGGCGCCUAAAGAUGGUCGUGCGUCUGAUUAGCUAGUUGGUAGGGUAACGGCCUACCAAGGCUACGAUCAGUAGGGGGCGUGAGAGCGUGGCCCCCCACACGGGUACUGAGACACGGACCCGACUCCUACGGGAGGCAGCAGUAAGGAAUAUUGGACAAUGGUCGGAAGACUGAUCCAGCCAUGCCGCGUGAAGGAUGAAGGCGCUCAGCGUUGUAAACUUCUUUUGUACGGGAACAAAAUGCGACCUGCGGGUUGUACUGAGGGUACCGUAAGAAUAAGCACCGGCUAACUCCGUG
rnacentral:rRNA from 1 species